rnacentral:rRNA from 1 species
UACAGAGGGUGCAAGCGUUGCUCGGAAUCAUUGGGCGUAAAGGGUUGGUAGGUGGUCUCAUUUGUCGGCAGGUGAAAGCCUUGGGCUUAACCCAAGAAGUGCCUCCGAAACGGUGAGACUAGAGUUCUGGAGAGGCUAGGGGAAUUCCCGGUGUAGCGGUGAAAUGCGUAGAGAUCGGGAGGAACACCAGAGGCGAAGGCGCCUAGCUGGACAGAUACUGACACUCAACAACGAAAGCGUGGGGAGCAAACAGG